UCUAAGGAGACAUGGGUAUGGCUAAGGCGCAUACCCGGAGUCUCAGUCGAUCAUUCGGAGACUGAAGCCGUGCGUGAGGCUUGACGCACGGACGGGAAACCGGAUGUAAAAGCCAACAAAACAAUUGCCGUCUAUAAUCUGCUAUCCGAUUUUCAGGGCCCGUGGCGGCUCAGGUGAUCGCAUCUGAGACAUGGGCUCAUAGCUCAGCCGGUUAGAGCGUACGCCUGAUAAGCGUAAGGUCGGUGGUUCGAGUCCACUUGAGCCCACCAUCUCUUUUCCGAGAGCGCACGCACCUUGACAACCGCAUAAGGAAGAAGAUAGAUAAGACAGAGAGAAAGAGAGGUAAAAGAAGAUAACGAGUAAGCAAAGGGUAUGAGAGUACCCGGGACUGCUUGCUUGGGAUUUUCCUCGAAGAAAGACUGUCAGGAUUUAUCGACGAGAGAACCAAGACUAAACAAGGUCAAGUUACUAAGAGCGCAGGGUGGAUGCCUUGGCGCUGAGAGCCGAAGAAGGACGUGACAAGCUGCGAAAAGCCGCGGGGAGGAGCAAAUAUCCCUUGAUCCGCGGAUGU
rnacentral:misc_RNA from 1 species